UACAGAGGGUGCGAGCGUUGUCCGGAAUCACUGGGCGUAAAGGGCGCGUAGGUGGCUGGAGAAGCGUGUGGUGAAAGCCCGGGGCUCAACCCCGGGUCGGCCAUGCGAACUGUCCGGCUGGAGCACGGUAGAGGCCAAUGGAAUUCCGGGUGUAGCGGUGGAAUGCGUAGAGAUCCGGAAGAACACCGGUGGCGAAGGCGGCCUGCUGGGCAGUUGCUGACACUGAGGCGCGACAGCGUGGGGAGCAAACAGG
rnacentral:rRNA from 1 species